rnacentral:lncRNA from 1 species
UCUAAAAUAACAACUUCCAAAGUUUAUUUUUUUCUUCUCCUCUAUAAUUUUAUAUAAUAGCAUUUUAUAACAUUUAGUAUUAUAGUUUAAUGCCAGUUUACAUCUACAAUACAGAUUUUGAAAGUCUGUGUUAUAUUUAAUGUUAAUAACAAUCAUGGUUCUGUUUACUAGGAAAGUGUGUAUGAGAUGAUCUACCUGCUAGAGCAUCUUACGUCUACUGGUUGGUGGAGCCUCAGUGCAGAAACAAAUAUUUCAUGAUACUGAUCACUGAUAUUAGUCCUGAGUGAAACAGACAUCUGUCAGAUGGCCUUGGCUCCAAAUGCUUCCUGAGCAUUUCCGAAGGCGAGAGAAAUUGUUCCAAAUCUUCGUGCCGCACACUGACGUCCUUCACUCUUAUGGCAAAACAGAUGGAGGUACCAGCUCUACCAUGUACUGAAGAGUGAGCCUGUUCCCUUAGUGCAGUAUGUACAAGUCUGAUCAGAUGCCCUUCUUCCAGAGUCCAAGUGACAGAAAACAAGACAGAAGCAGAAAUUUACCAUUGACCGAAGCUCCAUUAGUGAAUCAAUUUUUAAGUAAGAAGUUCUGUUUUGCUCAUCUUCCAUGUAUUGAGGCCACCUGAUACGGGACUUCUGGCUGGGGAAUGGUAAGUAACACUGCUUGUGCUUGGAUUUGAGUGACAAUGUCUCUUCUGAGAAACUGGUUCUUUUUAAAUGUACAACUGUUCUUUCUCUUAUUAGUUCUCUUUUGAAGUACGCGUAUCUGCAGCACUCAGCAAAGUUAUCAACUUCUGUUUUGAAAGUUUUGGUCUUUAUGAUUAGCAUUUUAAUAUAUGAAGGGAUCCUGUGUGAAGCUUUUUCUUGAAAGAGGCCACAAGGAAUAAUUUACUACUCCAGCUUCAGAGGAGAUGUGCUCCAUCCCUCUGAUUAUCCUUGUUGUUCUCCUCUGGACCUGCUCCAACAGCUCUGCAUCCCUCCUGUACUGAGGGCCCCAGUCCUGGACGCAGUGCUCUAGAUGGGGCUUUA